CUGAGAGAAGGCUGGCUCCUGUGCUCUGCACUCUGGCCCAGGGCUGCUGUUCUGCUGGCUGACGCCCUGUCCCCACCCCAGCAUGUCCUGCUUCCAGGCUGCUUGACCCGGCUGGGCUGGGUGCCUGUUCCCCACCCCUGCCCCAGUCUCCUGGGCCCCAUCCCAGCCUGGCCCGUCAUAACUGCCGAUCCCCAGAACUGUCCCUGGUGUGCAGCAGGCAUGCAGGGUGGGCCUGCAGAGCGAGGUCCCAGCACCGGCGGCAUCUGGUGCUGAACACAGGAAGAUGGGAUGUUUGCUGAAUGAAUGCACGUCCCUGAUGAGGCCUGGACUUCGACGGAUGAAGGGGCUGGUGGGGUGGAGUCAGGGUUCCCCGAAAGCCCUGGGUGGAGAGGGUCCCCAGAGUGGGGUCAGACAGCCUGUGAGGCUCACAGUCCUGCCCUGCAGCCCUUUGGUUUGGACCAGGUGCCACCUCCCCAUCUCCCUGGCCCCAGCCCUCAGCUAACCAGCCCAUCCCACCGCCUGGAAAUGGGCCAGAGGGCAGUGGCGACCUGCCCAAGUCCACACGCAGGCCACAGGCCACACUCUGAACCCCGGGGCAGGCUCAGACGGGCUUUGCUCAGCCUGCCUUAGGGCAUAGAGGGAGACUGAGUCAGGGCCCUCCCAGGAAGGAUGGGUGUGCGGCCUUCCACGCUCAGGACUUUGGGCCACGAUGUCCACCCCAGGGUCUUCGCAGAGCAGCGGGAAAGGACCCUGCUGGCAGGCACAGUGCCCGUCUCUGCCCCCGGCUCUGCUCCAACCGCCCCCAGCCCAAGGGCGGCACGCCGCAGGGGGUCUGUGAUCCCCCCACGUCCCCGGCUCCUUUCACCCACACACCACACUGGGAGGCGGCAGCCCGAGGGCAGGUUUACUGACAACCUCACGGGACACAAGCAGGCUGGGGACAGGACAGCGACAGGCUCCGGCGGCGGCGCUACCUGCGGUACCAGAUCUGCAGCCUCCGCUCCCGCUUGAUCUUCCUCUGCAGCUGCAGGAUGCCAUAGAGCAGGGCCUCGGCCGUAGGUGGGCAGCCUGCAGGGACCUUGCCUCAGUCUCGCUUCCCGCAGCCGGAGCCCGCGUGACCGCGUGCACAGCGCAGCCGGCUCGGCUUUGGAGGGGUCUCCCGGGCCGGCCUCUGAAGGUGGAGGCUGACAGCCCUGGGUGGGCGCAGUGCCAGGGGCUGGGAGCCGGCGCAGGGGAGGUCCCUGCAGGAAGAGUGGGGUCCUCCCCUGGGCAAGGCCCCACUGCCCUCCACCCGUGGCUCAUCCCGGGCUGUCACAGGGACCUCUCGGACAAGACGCUGACCUCACUAACCCGGCCCCCGGCCCCAGCCCUCAGGACUCCAUGGGGGCCAGCGCUCAGCAGACGUGGGGAGCAGGGCCCGGGGCUGCCCUGGACGGAGAUGGAGGCAGGGAGGCUGGGCGGAGGGAGGGGAGGUGGCCCAGAGCCCGGGCAUCCCACUAGGACCCGAUGACCCUCUUUCUGAGCCUCAAGCCAGAGCUCUUUGCUGGGGAUCCCCCAGUCCCGGCUGCCACGCAGGUUCAGAGCAAAGGGCUUGAGCAAGAGGACGAAGCCCAGGGCCCAACGGGGACAGCGGGAGUGGAAACAGGGGAAGACGCCAGGGGCAUGGGCUGAGCUCCUGACCCCGGGAUGGACCUCUCUGUGCUGUCAAGUCACGGGGAGGCCCAGGCUGCCCUCUCCACUGCCCCCGGGGUGACCUGAACCGUGCAGAACGCUGAACAAAUCAACGCCCUUUCCAGGGAAGCGGAAUCCAAAGUCAGAGCCUGUUCCUCCACUUUUGAGAGGCACCAGGAUGUGCCUCUCGCUUGCCCAAACCCCCAGACUCGGGACACAGGGCUGGGCUCUCUGCGCAUGAGCUAAUGCCGCACGCAGCACAGGGUGGCCAAGGACAGGACUCUGUCCCCUGUCCCACAUGAGCACCACCUCCAAGCCUGCCUACCGUGGACCACUGUCAAGGUGAACGCCCGGGGGGGUGGCCCUCGUGGGACCACGUGAGGUGCAAGAGUCCCACGGGAUCACCAGAUAUAAAGAAUGUUCCCGGUGCGAUGUGAAUUUCAGGUAGGACCAUAUGAAACUGCUGUAAACCAGGCGAGUGUCAGGAAUUCCACUCAGCUUCCCCUGCUCCCUCUGAUCCCUCUGAUGCCUGAAUACAUCGCCGACUUCUCACAGGGGACACACUCCACUAAGAGGCAGCGCUCCGAGUCGGCCCAUCCAUAGGAUGGGGGAGCCCGCCGUCUGCUGGGGGUGUGGGACUCCCUCACAGGGGCCGCCGGGCUCCGUGUGGCGCUGGCCCUGUCUCCAGCUUCCUCGUGGGCGGUGCGGUCCCGGCCCUACCUGGGAUGUAGAUGUCCACGGGCACGAUGCGGUCGCAGCCCCUCACCACCGAGUAGGAGUAGUGGUAGUAGCCUCCUCCGUUGGCGCAGCUGUGGGGGAGGCACUGUGAGGGGAGUGUGCCGAGGACCCGCCUGCCCACCCUCCCUCCUCGCAGCUGUGGGGGAGGCGCCGUGAGGAGCACCUGCCCAGGACCCGCCCUGUCCACCCUCCCUCCACGAGGCCUCGCCCCAUCCCCACCCGCCUUCAACUGCAGGCCAGGCACCUACGAGGCUGGAACUUGUCACGGAGAAGCAAUGAGCAAACACGCACAGGCUCCCAGAGCCUCUGUGGGACCCGUGGGGCGCAAGCUCACACGUGGCUGAUAACUCGGGGAAAAGUGCUCCCCUCCCGAGGGGGCUCCUGACCACCGAUUCCCGGGGCUGGGACGUGUCAGAUCACAUGUGUCAACAAAAAGCCACUUCAGACAGCCACAGUGCCAACACCCAGCCCCUGUCUAUGGGGCGGCUGAGCCUCACCCUCGCCUGAUUCCGGCUCUGUCAGUGAGGCGCUGGGGUCCACCCGGGGCAGGGAGCUGGAAACCCCAGGAGACCACACAGACUCCACUCCCAGCACUGCUUCCCACAGCCGUAAAAAUGGACAUACCCUGAAUGCCCAGCAGUGGGAGACGGUUCUGAAAACUAUGGAAUAUUCUAAUUAACUGUUUAGAAUUAGAUUAGUAAUGUGUCCACACAGUGGGAUAUUAUUCAGCCAAGAAAAGGGGCGAGGCUCGGACACAGGCCACAGCACGGAUGCACCUUGAGGACGUCGCGCUCAGUGAGAGACGCCGGACACAGAAGGCCACGCGGCGUGUGAUCCUGUUUCUGUGAAAUGUCCAGGAUGGGCCCAUCCACAGAGACAGGGAGGGGAGGUGUGGGCACCGGGGCUCGGAAGGGGAUGCAGAGUGACUGCUGAUGGGGACAGCGUUUCAUUUGGGGGUGAUGAGAAUGUUCUGGAAUUAGAGGUGGUGGCCUAACAACCACUGAGCUGCUCACUUUAAAAGGGUAAACUUAGCAAGACCUGAUCUCUACAGAAAUUUUAAAAAGUAGGCACAGUGGAGUACAUCUGUAAUCCCAGCACUCUGAGAGGCUAAGGUUGGGCGACCGCUUGAGCCCAGGAGGUCAAGGCUGCAGUGAGCUAUGACUGCACCACUGCACUCCAGCCUGGGCAACUCAGUGAGACUCUGUCUCU
rnacentral:antisense_RNA from 1 species